CUGCGAAUGGCUCAUUAAAUCAGUUAUCGUUUAUUUGAUAGUACCUUACUACAUGGAUACCUGUGGUAAUUCUAGAGCUAAUACAUGCUAAAAACCCCGACUUCAGGAAGGGGUGUAUUUAUUAGAUAAAAAACCAACGCCCUUCGGGGCUCCUUGGUGAAUCAUAAUAACUUAACGAAUCGCAUGGCCUUGCGCCGGCGAUGGUUCAUUCAAAUUUCUGCCCUAUCAACUUUCGAUGGUAGGAUAGUGGCCUACCAUGGUGGCAACGGGUAACGGGGAAUUAGGGUUCGAUUCCGGAGAGGGAGCCUGAGAAACGGCUACCACAUCCAAGGAAGGCAGCAGGCGCGCAAAUUACCCAAUCCCGAUACGGGGAGGUAGUGACAAUAAAUACUGAUACGGGGCUCUUUUGGGUCUCGUAAUUGGAAUGAGAACAAUUUAAAUCCCUUAACGAGGAACAAUUGGAGGGCAAGUCUGGUGCCAGCAGCCGCGGUAAUUCCAGCUCCAAUAGCGUAUAUUAAAGUUGUUGCAGUUAAAAAGCUCGUAGUUGAACCUUGGGUCUGGCUGGCCGGUCCGCCUCACCGCGAGUACUGGUCCGGCUGGACCUUUCCUUCUGGGGAACCUCAUGGCCUUCACUGGCUGUGGGGGGAACCAGGACUUUUACUGUGAAAAGAUUAGAGUGUUCAAAGCAGGCCUUUGCUCGAAUACAUUAGCAUGGAAUAAUAGAAUAGGACGUGCGGUUCUAUUUUGUUGGUUUCUAGGACCGCCGUAAUGAUUAAUAGGGAUAGUCGGGGGCGUCAGUAUUCAGCUGUCAGAGGUGAAAUUCUUGGAUUUGCUGAAGACUAACUACUGCGAAAGCAUUCGCCAAGGAUGUUUUCAUUAAUCAGGGAACGAUAGUUAGGGGAUCGAAGACGAUCAGAUACCGUCGUAGUCUUAACCAUAAACUAUGCCGACUAGGGAUCGGACGGGAUUCUAUGAUGACCCGUUCGGCACCUUACGAGAAAUCAAAGUUUUGGGUUCUGGGGGGA
rnacentral:rRNA from 1 species